rnacentral:sRNA from 1 species
UGCAAGAAAACAUCUAAUGCCAGGGUUC